CAGCAUCCAGCAUCAUCGCAGCAGUCUUCUUCAACGAUGGAUCCACACCAAUCGCCGUAAUGAGCAGGUUAUCAAGUGUUACAGUGGAUGCAUUACCGUUGCUGGGGCUCUCACCGCCUUUAUCAUCGGCGUGGCUGUAAAGAGAAUCAGUCCUGAUGGUGCACUCUCACCGUGGCUCAAAAGUUCCCUCAUAGCAGACAAGGUAAAUCUGAAAAUCUUUAUAUCGUUCUGUGAUCUUUCCUUCUUAAGUAAUUUCCGCUCUGUUAAAUACCACCUUGUAAUAUUACGAGAUUUAAAUGUUAUUCCUAGCCAUUUCCUCACUGAGUCUUGAAUAUGAAAAAAAUAAUGUAUGUAAUGUAGAAAUUGUAACGAUGAGUGUUAUAAAUUUGGGCGUGGAGGAGUAAGUAGAAGGGGAGUGGUGCAUGGAGAGGAGUAGUGAAUGGCUGGACAACUCGAAGCAGGAAUGUGGCUUUUUACUAAUUGUGGAGCAGGUUCUGUAAAUCACUAGUUGCUCAAAUAAGACCUGAAUGCUGAACGUCUCAAUUUAAGAAGUGAGUCCGAGUUAGAAAUACAAUGGUAAAAAUUACAGGCUAAAAAUGAGUAAAAAAAAUAGUAACCUGGAGUGAAAUAUGAAUGUAUUGUAAGUAAAGAGUAAUAAUAUAGAAACUCUUCAUUGAAAACUGUCAGACCCAGAU